CAGGGGAGGGAAGGCACGGGGCGAGGUGGGGCCAGGCCCGCUCGGGAGAGCCUGGCUCACCGCCCCCAGGUGGGCGAGAGCGCGUCCAGGGCCCGCCCACCCCGGUGGGAAACGCUUUUUUUAAAACAUCUUUAUGUUGUUGUUAUUAUUUAUCUCCCCUGGGGUACGGGGAUGCUGGCCGUGAGCCGCCCCCGGGCGUGCAAGAACGCGUUAAGCCACCCUCCCCCCCGAAAGGCAAUAUAAGAGGUCGGCGAAAAACGUUUAGUUUUAAAUAUCUUUACAUUAUUAUUUAUCUUCUGGCCGGCUGAAAAGUGCUGUCCUCACCGCUGGCCUCAGCCACCGUACACGUGCGCUUUCUGAAAAUCCUGAUUUAAGCCAAAUGUUUUGACUUUCCGUACAACUGCACACAAUUUGGAGGCUGUCGAAUGGUUGUAAGAACUGAAGUGUGCCUGGCUGCGAAUUAUCCGGGCUGUCUCUUCUGGAAGUCAAAUCGUUAAACAGCCGUCAUGUUACAAUAGGAACAAAUAUUCUCAUGAACCGUUGCACCAGAUAAUGAAAUGCAGGCAGAGAAUAGAGUUCCUCGGUGCUAUGGAUACUGUAUUAACCUGGUAGCUAAGGACCUGUCGCAACUCCUGCCAAAGAAGGAAUGGAAGUGUAAUUGAGGGAGCAAAAGGAAGAGGAAAGUUGAACAUAUGAGGGAGUGGAAUACAUCUUCAGGGCAAGACAGAGGCCACGAGAAAGGGAAAAUUGAGGAGCAUGUCCCUGCUGUUUUCCAGUGUUGGGAUGAUAAAAACCAGCUGUAUACCAGUUUGCAGCAGCUAACGUGCUUCAGCUUGGUAUAAGUAACUUCAGUGAAUCAAUAAAUUUAUCUAUAGAAGUUAUAUGUCUCUAAUUAUCUAUGACUUAAUUUAAACAUUGCUGACAUUCAGAAUAAAAUAAAUCUAAUCUAUGUAGAAACACACAGCUUGAGGAUUCAAAACAUAUUAACUCUGCUAUCCAAUGAUAGCAUAGUGUUACUGUGUUUCUAAAUAUAAACUUAAUCUCACUUAGAAGUAUAAAUUUCAAAAAACAUCUAUAAUCAGACAAUGUUUAGCACAACAGAGCAAAAAUAUAGUUUUUUCAAUAUGUUUGGCAUGUGUUUCUAGAUCUUACAGAGUUAAGCUUUAGUCUUAACAAGCCAAGUCUUAGCUUUUGAGGAGCUGUAAUGUAGGUUUGAAUGUUAAAUUCUUCUGAAUUUCAAAUUGCUGACUUAUGUUUAAUCUUCAUGUAAUUACUGGUCAGCAAUAAUCAAAAUGUGGUAAGUUAUAUAGCAAUGGAAGUCUUGAAGAGUGGGGUUUUUUUUCAUUUUGGCAGAGAAAUGACUAUUGAUAUUUCCACUCACUGUUGGGGCCAAAGAAUAAAGUUUGUUAAGGGUUGAAUAGGCCAGAUAGAUAAUGCUACUACUGUUUUCAGCAGAUGCUAAUGCAGUGUUUUAUUUUGCACAUGUAUUAAUCUUUGCUGCCUCAGUACAGAGUGGUGGGGGUAACUAUGUUGGUCCUAAAGGUUAAUUUCAUUCUUUUUUAAGGCAUGCCAUUAUUCUGUUAACAGUAAUUGCUCUUUUUUGAAUGAUUAAUUUGAUCACGUGAACUGUUUCUAAUUAUGUUGGUGACUGGCAAUUUCCUGUACUGAGAAAUUGUAGUUGUGAUCAUAUCCUAUUUACUCAAUGUAUAUGCCUUGAGAAAAAUGCUCAAUGAUAGGCAUUUUCAGAAAUUGUCACUAAUUUCAAGAACUGUUUGGAGACUUUAUAUAAGAUGCUUAGCACUUGUUUUACAUUGGUGUUGAGUAUGUGCAAUGUACUUGACAAAUGAGGGCUGAAACAACUGGAUGUGAGGCGGCAGGAUGAGCAGGUUUGCAAAUGCAGGCCUAUCUGCUAAAUUAUCACCUGUGCUGUCACUGCUGUGAAAACUGAAAGGAGUGGGACGUGUUUCAUGCGCAUUUUACAGCGUUCUUGCACUC